rnacentral:tRNA from 3 species
GGCCCCUUCGUCUAGUGGCCUAGGACGGGUGGUUCUCAGCCAUCAAACGGGGGUUCGAUUCCCCCAGGGGCUACCA